AUUCUAAUCCCUCUGGUGGGUGGGGCUUUGUCUCUGGGUGAGAUUAGAGGUGGCUGUGUGCCUGGGAUGUCUCUUGGCAGCCAGUUUACUCAUGGGCAAAGCUCUGGUCCCAUCUGGAUCAUUGUUUGGCUUGGGGCUUCUCAGCACUGAUAUGUGAGGCCAGGUUUUCCCAACCUGGCCACCUCUAGAGGAUCAAAUGCUGAUGAGCAUUCCCAAGAGCUUUGCUUCCAGUGUCCUUCCCCCACAAUGAGCCACAGUCACCCCCCUUUUUCCCAGGAGAUCCUCUAAGAACUGCAGUCACAUCUGACCCAGAUUCCUGUGGAGCCUCUGCUUUGCCCUGGGACCCAGUGCGCAUGAAAACCUGUGUGCGCCUUUCAAGAAUGGGGUCUCUGUUUCCCCCAGUCCCAUGGACAUCCUGCGCACACACCCCACUGGCCUUCAAUGCCAGAUGCUCUAGGGCUCUUUCUCCCAAUGCCAGAUCCCCAAGCUUGGGGACCUGAGGUGGUGCUUAGAAUUCUCACGCCUGUAAGUGAGUCUCUAUGAUACAGUUACUUUCUAGUCUGUAUGGUUGCCUCCUAGCAGGUAUGCGGUUGCUUAUAUCACCUAAUGCCCUUCAUGCUGUCUUAAUGUCGCCUCCUCUUUGUCUUCUGUAGUAGGAUAUCUUUUUGAAAGUUUCCAGUCCAUUUGGUUGAAGGUGCUUCAGCAUUUGGUUAUAAUUUGGUUUUUAUGAGAGAAGUUGAGCUCCAGUCCUUCUUUUCCGCCAUCUUAAUCCCGUCUCCACUGGCAGUUAACGCUUUUGCAUAGUGUAUGAAUCUUUAGUAGUGCAUUCAUGCAUGUUAACAGCAAGAACAUAGUCAUAAAUCCCACAUUCCUUCCUGAGUGUUAAGAUCAGAAGUGAAUAUAGGUUUUGGUGCUCCCUACCUUUAAGAAUAAAGACCGUGCCUUAGCUGUGGAUGGUGAAAGCAGAAUCCCACAUCCUCCUCAGCUCAUGAUAUGAACGAAGGCUUAUCUUGCCUGGCUUAGUGACUGAGUCCAGUUGUUGACCUCUUGAUUAGUGGGAAGGAACACACUACUGAGAAUUUGAGAGUGAGUGGAUAAUUAAGAGUUGCCCUUCAAACCCUUCUUCCCUAAUUUAGAAAGAUUCCCUAAUUUGAUAAUUUUCAUUAAUUUAGUUGUUUAUUUACUGCACCAUGCUCUAUAGAAAACACCAAAUUAAAUUACAUUAAUCUUUAAGGAGAUCUUUUUCUGUAUUCAACCAGAUAAGUCUAAGAUAUAAAGCAGAGACUAUAUAAUUUGUAGUACAGUAUUGAUGAAAAGAUAGUGAAGUCUUGCAGUUCCCAUAUUAAGGUAUAAAUGAUUUCCUAACUGAAUUCAUUUAUCUGUAAUCAAGCACUAAAGCAGUCAGCUGAUAGAUCUCCUCUAAUAGAAGAUUGGGUAGCCUUCCUCCAUGGAGAACCAAUAUUAACAGACUUGAAUACCUCUGAUUUUCCUGUAUUCACCUUAAUUGAUAAUGAAUUUGAUAGCUUUUUCUUCUAGUUUUUAAGGAUAAAGUGUAGAAAACUUAAUCCUAUUAUUUGGAUUAAUGAACAUUCUUUUUACAGUCUUGUGCACAUUGUGCCAUUAAUGAAAGUUCUUCUGCUGCAGGCAAAAUAUUUUAUUCAAGAAUGAAAAGGCAAAUUGAGUUACUAUAUUGUGUAUGAGAGUCGAAGUUAAGUAUUAUUUCAGCUCAAUCUCAGCUGGGGCUGAGGUACUCUGAUCACUAUGAGGUGUUAAAAUGAGAAGUUAAAAGAAGUAUGACUGAUUUUUAUAUACAUCAAUUUAAUUAAUAACUGGUAGAGUUUGUUUUACCUCUAUGAUUUGGUGGAGGUACUAAGGCAAGUAAGUUGGUAUCAGCUUUCAAGGCAUGUUUACUUGCAUGUCUUCUAAUUGAUAGCAUCAAUUCUUUCAUUCAUUUAGUAGUGUGAAUGAUGAAUAAACACUUGUUUUAUUCUUUUUCUACCUUACCAUGUUUUUAGCAUUUGACUGUGGAAAUUUUCAGUCAUGUUCAGAGUAGGAGAGUAGCAUAAAGAAGUCUGUUUUCCUAGCACAUUUAUCAACACAUGUCCAAACUACACCCCUGCCCACCCUCAUCUGACUUCAGAUUUUAAAGCAAAUACCAGUUCCUUAUACAUAUUUCAGGAUAUGUCUAAGUAAGGACUCUUUUCUGUCUUUAAACAUAACUGUAAUUAUAUUAAGGCAGAGCUGCUUUUUAGUUUUAAGUAGGAAGUAAGGAACGCUGGAAUCCAGCUAGAUUUCGAUGACUUUAGGUAGGUCUAGGUACUUGGCCACACCAUUUAGCGUUCUUCUCUCCAUGCUUUUUUAUCUUUAAAAAGAGAAGAUUCAACAAGAUAUGUCUCCCAAAUCCCAUCUGUCCAUAAAAUUUGUAAUUUAAAAAAUGAGGAGACCUCCAGCUUCUGGUCCAGCAUGUAAGGGACUUGCAAGCCAUUACUCUGUGCUGACGAUUACAAACCGACAAACUGAAAAAUCAAGAACUCGCCUUAGAUCUAUCAGAGAAGUGGGGUCACAAGGCAAACUGUUGCCAUAGAAUUAGAGAGACAGGCAAAUACAGAGAAUCACAACUUACUGGAGCAACUUACUGUGGAAACUAGUAAUGGGGUGGAAAACAAAACCCUGAACUGUAAGUGAUGAAUCACUGGGGGUUCUGAGCAGACAAGUCUGAGAGUUAAAAACUCCAGUCAUAGUGGCUCCUACAGUUUGGUAGUUUACCUUCAGGAGCUUGACGAGGUUCUCACAGUGAACCCCUUGUGCUUACGGCAGGGGGAGGGGGAACGAACUGUUCUGAAACACUCCAGAGUAUUCUCUUCUUCAUAUCAAAGGCUGUCCUCAAGAAAAACUGUUUAUCAGUGCCUAAUUGACCUGGGAGAAGGGAAAUACCCAGCUCCAGCCCAUUCCAGUCGCCCACAUAAGUGAGGGUAAGACUUAGUCACACAGAAGCUCUCAGUUCAGAGGCAAAAGUGCACUAAAAGAUUGGUAUUAUCAUAGGACUGCAACUGCUUCCCCUGACUCUGUACCCCAUCACUGCAUUACUGAAUGCCUGCUUGAAGCUGCUCCCUUUACUCAAGCGUCACACCCGCUAUCAAGAAAAAAAUCACAAGGCAUACUAGAAGACAAAAAACACAGGUUGAGGAGACAGGGCAGGCAACAGAACCAGAUUCCAAUAUGGCAGGGACGUUGGAAUUAUCAGACUGUGGUUAAAAUGCUAAGGGCGCUAAUGGCUAAGAUAGACAGGAUGAAAGAACAGAUGAGCAAUGUGAGCAGAGAGAUGGAAAUUCUAAGAAAGAAUCAAAAAGAAAUGAUCAAAAAGAAAUUAGAUCAGAAACACUAUAAUAGAAACGAAGAAUGCUUUUAGUGGGUCUAAGAGGAGACUGGACACAGCUGAGGAAAGAAGCUCUGAGCUUGAAUAAAACUUCCAAAAAGGAAAGUGAAGAGAUCAAAGAUGAAAAAAAGGAACAGAACACCCAAGGACUGUAGGACAACUACAAAAAUAUUCAUAAAAUCCAUAUAAUAAAAUAUGAAGAAGGAAGGGAAAAAAGAACAGAGGAAAUAUUUGAAGAAGUUGUGACUGAGAAUUUCCUCAAAUUAAUGUUGGACACCAAACUACAGACCCAGGAAGCUCAGAGAACACCAGGCAGGAUAAAUGUUCCUGAAAACUACAUCUAGAUGCGAACAUGCAUCUAUAUGUCAUAUUCAGGCUGCACAUCAGUAUCACCUCUCAUGCUGAUGGCUUCCGUGUGUGUGUGUGUGUGUGUGUGUAUCCAGAACUCUAGAAACCAGUUUUUACCUCACCCGUCCCCUGUGCUUUUCACUGCUGGGUCCUGUCCAUUGUACCUACAAAAUAAAUCCCCAGUUUGGCCUCUCUCCAUAGCAUCGUGUUCUCGUGCUUGCUCUCUGGCCCCCCACCCCACCCCAUCCCCAUUCAGUCACUAUAGAUUAACUUAAGUCAUCUUUAUAAAAUAUAAAUGGGAGUUUAGCUCUCGAUUGCUGUCCCAUAAUGCUUGAAAUAAAAUCAAACUCUGAGCUCCUUACCCGGCCCUGGAAGACCCUAAGUGACCUGGCCUCUCAACCCUGGUCCUCAUACACCAUAUAUUUAGGUUGAGGACUUCUCUCAGGUCUUUCCCACCCUAGGGACCCUGCAUAUUCUGAUUCCCUCCCACCUCUUGCCUGACUCCUUCUCAUUCUGUAGGUCUCAGUUUACAUAUCCCUGUACUGUGAGGCUUUUCUUUACGACCACGUAACUAAAAUAGCUCCCCCUCCCAUAUUUGUUUCCUUUGUAAUUGAUAAUCCUGCAUGGUCUGCUUCUGUGAUUUGUAUCUGCUGCCUUGCUAAAAUGUACACUCCAUGAGGGUGGGCACUGUUUGUCUCCUUGCCAUUAUAGCUCAGGUCUCCAGUAGAGUGUCUGCCUCAUUCCUGACACUCCAAACAUAUUUGAUUGAAUGGCUGGAGACAGGGAGGGAGGAACGAAGAGUAGCCAUGAGGUGAGCACAAAGUUUUGGAAACUAUGGCUAAGUUCAGAGUAUUGGAGACCAUGGAAGAAAGAAAUGAAGAAGGGGAAACGCCCGUAGGGGAAUGCAGUAUGUACACAUGUAGGACAGUGAGUGUGGUGGUCAUGACAGUUGGCCUGACAUCCAUUCCACCCCAGUGAUUAGUCCAAGCCAUUCAUAAUAACCAUAUUUUCUUUGUGUGGAUUGGCCUGAGUGAUGAGACAUGCGUGUAAGUAGGCGGAGUGAGCUCUGGUGCUGUUUUCCUCACAUCUAGGAAGCGAUGCUCUCACUCCCUCCUUGGAGGUGGUCCGGUCCGAAUAUGAGGGUUGGAACUCCUGGAACUGUCUUGCUUCCAGAUGGAAGAUGAAAGCAUCACAGAAAAGGAAGGGAGCCAGAGACGUGGAGCCAGAGCCCUUGUGUUCUGCCCUCUCAAGUUUGCUUUCUUGGUUUUACAGUAAGUGGCAUGAUGAAUGCCUUCUUCACUUAUCUCAGUUGCUUUUAGUGAUUCUGAUGACCCCAAUGAAACAGUGAGAAUCUGUCUAGAUGAAGAAGCUUCUUCAUACUGGAUAGUGGUAGGAAUUCAUUCUGAAAGGGUGAAGUUUUGAGCAGGGCCCCUGAAUAAAGGACUGAAGAAGUCUAUACAGUGCUUAAGAAGAAAGAAUCUGGGAGUUCCCAUCGUGGCGCAGCGGAAAUGAAUCUGACUAGGAACUAUGAGGUUGUGGGUUCAAUCCCUGGCCUCACUCAGUGGGUUGAGGAUCCAGUGCUGCUGUGAGCUGUGGUGUAGGCCACAGAUGCAGCUCGAAUCUGGCGUUGCUGUGGCUGUGGCAUAGGCCGGCAGCUGUAGCUCCAAUUAGACCUCUAGCCUGGGAACUUCUAUAUGCCGUGGGUGCGGCCCUGAAAAGCAACAAAAAAAAAA
rnacentral:lncRNA from 1 species